UCCUCAAUAGCUCAGUUCGGUAGAGCGAUCAGCUGUUAACUGAUUGGUCGUAGGUUCGAAUCCUACUUGGGGAG
rfam:Triticum aestivum genome assembly, contig: Triticum_aestivum_CS42_TGACv1_scaffold_290538_4AL